rnacentral:rRNA from 1 species
AUUGAACGCUGGCGGAAUGCUUUACACAUGCAAGUCGAACGGCAGCACGGGGCAACCUGGUGGCGAGUGGCGAACGGGUGAGUAAUACAUCGGAACGUGCCCAAUCGUGGGGGAUAACGUAGCGAAAGUUACGCUAAUACCGCAUACGAUCUACGGAUGAAAGCGGGGGAUCGCAAGACCUCGCGCGAAUGGAGCGGCCGAUGUCAGAUUAGGUAGUUGGUGGGGUAAAGGCUCACCAAGCCAACGAUCUGUAGCUGGUCUGAGAGGACGACCAGCCACACUGGAACUGAGACACGGUCCAGACUCCUACGGGAGGCAGCAGUGGGGAAUUUGGACAAUGGGCGCAAGCCUGAUCCAGCCAUUCCGCGUGCAGGAUGAAGGCCUUC